UUUUUUUUUUUUUUUUUUUUGUUUCUCUCCAAUUCCCAUUUAGGAACUUGACAUUCGACCGAGCGUCUACUUAACAUAAAUAGAAACACAAUAAGGAAUUUUGUCAGUUUCAUCUAUUGGGCUAAUUGGGGUUUUGUAUAGUCAUUUGAAUAUCUCUACUACUUUUCCUUCGGAGUGAGGAGGAUGGAUCUAAUUGUUGGAUGGAAUCAUGGCGCUGGAAAUUUGGUUUGAUUUCUUGAUUAUUUCCUGUGCAAAUAAAAAGAUAAGCAAGGAAAAGGGUAGAGUUCCCCCCCCCCCCCCCAUUCUCUUGUUUCCUUUUGUUCAAUUAUGCACAUCAAUUAGCCAUUGAUAGCUUAUGCUCUUAAAAGCAAAUAAUUAUGCACUCGGAAAAGGUACCUUCAAUCUUUAGCCCUUCUAUUCUAAACUCCUUCAUUUUAGGUGGAUAUAUAAGAGUAAAUAUUACGGUUUAAAUUCAGGUAAUCAUUCCCCCGCCUGGUUCACUUACAAGUUCUGAUCAAUUUGGACAUGGUAUUGAUUUCCAUAAUCGAGGACCUCGCCCCUUUCUCUUGUUUGGCGUGUUUCUAAACUUUGUUGGCUUUUCAAGAAGCCAAAAUUUACAAAUCCUUCUUCCAAUUUGCCAAACCAAAAAAUAACGAAUAAUGCUUAAAAGAAACUCGCAGCUUGCACAUAUCUCCCAUUAGCCACUACUCAUUUUCAAAUCCUCUCAUGCACAUGGUCAAAAUCCAUUCUACUACAAACGGCCCAGAAAUAAAUAACUUUGAAGCAGUAACUAUAAACAAGUCCAGCAAUCUCAGUUGAGUUUGUAAGCAGUACAUUGAACAGGGUUUCAUAUCAAAAGUGCAAAGUUCUAUUUCUGCCGCCACAUUUGACAACCACAAUAGAUAACAGAUCACUAUAGAUGAUAGUGCAUAAUAUUUAUAGGGGUAGAUUUUGCAGAUGAAGAAAGUUCAAUCAAUGAGCCCACAGGAAAGCUCCCAUGGCAAACUUUCUUUUCUGGUUAACAUCUCCAGUUGCCGGAAGCCCAUAUUCUGCAAGAAGGCAAUUGAGCUUCCACUCAGGCAUGGUCUCAUACUCGGCCUUGGUGUACCUGGGAUAGUGCAAUGGCAUUUGAAAGCCGCAUCUCUCUAUGGUACCAUGCUGCCCUCCCACGGUUGAUCCUGCACCGGCACCUCCGCCUAUAUUAUUGUUUGGGCCGGUUGCCCUUGAAAUUGAGUGCUCCAUUUCUUGAAAUCAACUACUCAGAAGAGAAGUUAAUUUUUUUUUUUUUUUUAAUGAUUGGGUAGCUUUUUUUUAGUCUAUGUAGCAAGUGUUAGACACGAGUGACCCUAUUUAUAGUUGACUUUAGGGGAGACGUUGAUUGACAGAAAAUGGACUGUUGUGGAAUUAACUAGCCGGCAUUGUUGAGAUAAUUUUCUCUUCCAUGACAAGACAACAGCCAAGCCAACAGGUCCGUUCUACUUUCUUCCACGUACUAUUUGCCAAACCCCAGACCUUUGUUCUGUUUCUCCUACCCUCAAAGCAGGAGGAUGGACAAAUACACAUGAGAAAGUUUCUUUUGGAGAGGUCAGGUAGGUGCGAAAUGAAGGUCAUAUGAUUCUUGAUAACCCUUCAAUUAUCAUCUCAAGUUUGCUGCAAAAAAUGUUAUACACUUUACAUGGAUGAAAAAUUACAUGACCGUAGCCCUCGUGUGAUUUUUUUUUUCAAGUUCAUUACAACUAUUUGUACAAAUCGAUGAGCCAGAUACUCUUAUAUUUCACCAUUGCCGUAGUAGACUAUUUCUCACCUGAAUAUAUUAUACCACAAUUCGGCAGACACCCUUCUGAGUUCCUAUAAAUAACUUGGGCCUUACAACUUCACCACGAUAAGAGGAGGUAACCGAGAUGCUAACAAAAUUCCACUUGUGUCCUUCGUUAACAACAAUAAAAGCUUCACUUCUUCUCUUUUAUCUAUUCAUGCUGCAUUGCCAUUGAUGUUUGUCUCUCUUGAAUUCAAGAACAUACAGAGUUUCUUACAUGAACGGCAGACCAUUCCGCCAUGCAUUAUUAAUUCAUACAGUUUGAAGGUUUAUAGCUGAAUAUGGCAAGGAUACAGUAGAAAUGAGGGCCACAUGCCAUUCAAUGCACCAAGAAGUAGAUGUUCCUUCGCAUGCCAUCAUCCACAUAUUUGCUUAAUGGGGCAGCAAACGCUUGACAAUUAAUAGAUCUCAGCAUUGAAUGUAAACAUAAAUAUGAACUUGCAUUAUUGCAUCCAAAAAUAUCUGGUGGUUACAAAAGAAUGAAAGAUCCUGACAGAAAUUGCAGGCCACAAAUGGUAAAGCAAUUGCUCAGGGACAGGAAGGACUGCAAACCACAGAAUGAUGUUUCUGACCAUGCACAACCAAGUUGAUGUAACCCAUAUGUCUUCUUUAUGUGAUGUUCUUCCCAUUGUACUAAUUACUGAAAAUUAAUCAAAACAGCAGUUCAACUUACAGGAACACAAAUGGCAAUUUAUUUCUUGUCCCCCACCUUGCCCUCUUGAGCUGUAGCUCAGGUAUUUCAUGAAGCAAAUGUCGUAUAAUUUGCUAAACAAAACAUACUAUAACUUUGCUAUGUUGAAACUAUGAACCACAUGCGAAGCAAACGAUAUGAUUGUUAAAAGACAUUCCAUAGGGGCUGCAAUUCCAUUUUCUUUGGCCAGCUUUACUGUUACUUGUAUGCCAGACUUACAGGGUGGAAGAAUCAGGUGAUUGCUUUGAGUUCAGAGGGAAGUAAACUAGACUUAUAUAUCUCACAAGGAAAUUUGGAGUCUUGUAUCUCGGAGUAUAUUUUCCACUAAUUAAAGAGACCAUUAGAUUGUAUUCUAUUUGCUUUAACUAUACCACAGAGAGAGAGAGAGAGAGAGAGAGAGAGGAAGAACGUCCCAGUUUCUCUUGCAUGAAUAUGGUGGUCAUUAUCUGGUAAUGAUGAACUGUAAUAAAUUUGGAAAAGAAAUUAAAACUUUUCUGCCAACAAAAUUCCAAAUUCCAUACAACUAGAAAUAGUUUUCUAACCUCAUUUCUGAUACUUUCCUGUGUUGGUCCUAUACUUCACACAGUGUUAGCACAUCUACAGCUUGGAACAAGUGAAAACAGCUUUCCAAUGCAUUUUACUAAAAGCUAAACAUACCAAAAAAAUGUUGCCUCGAAGCACAUAAUACAUCAGGAAUCUGUUCUUCGAUCUACAGAGACUUCAACUAAGUUUUCAGGAGUUGCUUUUGCUGUCAAAGGCAAAUCCACAAGCAUGCUUGCAGGAGCAAAAUACAUGUGCAGUGACAGCAUACAGAUGAUAAUACCUAAAAACAGCUGCAUAAAGACAAGAAGGAAAAAUCAAUAUAUCAAAAACUUGUAAGCCAGUAUUAAGGCAAAAGGAUAGAGGACGAAGAAAAAAAGAAAAAUGGGGGGAAAAAAAUAUUCUGUCAUCCUUCAGAAGCAUCAAAGAUCAUCACAAGCAAUUGAAAAUCUUGUGAAGACAUAGGUCAAGAGGGAAGCAGGAACAGUACAGAAAGCAACUGGAUAGAAGAUCUACUUUUACAGCAUAAACUGUGGGCAGUGGAAAUUUAAAAAUAAAUCUAUGUCAAACUUUAACUUCAAAACAGUAGAAUAGAUGUCUUGUGACAGUAAAAGAAAUGACAGAGCUAUACUAAGCCAAAAACCAUACCUGUAGCGUUGGCUUAAAAGUGAAGAGAAAGAUAGAUAGUACCAUUGUUAGUAGCAUUGCCAUUGAAGUGGAGUAUACCUUCAAGGAAAAGGGAAAAGACAAAAAAAAAAAAAUCUCAAUUUGUUGAUUUUAUUUUAUAUGGGAAACAAAGAUGUCACCAGAACAAGAAAAUAAUUAUCAGGUAUCUACAUCAAACUUAUACAAAAUAUUGGCCCUGCUAGAAUAAAGUCUCUCAAAUAAGUAGAAAAAUGUAGCAGAAAGAAAAACAUAUAAACCUUUACAAUAUUGUCCGCAUACUUCAUCAACCAUGAUACUAAAAGCCCAGUGGACCCCAAAUUUAACACCACCAACCAUGUUGUGAUACUAUAUCCAUUCAAAAGCCGUUGCCACCAUGGUCCUUUCUCAAAGCCACCUCUAAAAUCGUCCAAAACAAGACGUGCCAUGUUGAAUAUCGCGCCAAACCUUGAAAAAAGAAUGCUCUGAAUCAAUUAAUUAGCGUAAAAAGAAAAAUCUUUUACAAGCAUCUAGUCUCAAUGCAAAUGUGAUGCAGUGCUAUUGACAGGUCAAUUGUCAUCAAACUGAAUUGCAUAAUCAAAAACUGGUCACUCUCUUGUAAUAUCAGAAGUUUACACAUGCUCUUUCUUCUCACAGACAAGAUAUUUAUGUUGUGCAAAGAAAUUCAGUGAGUAAACUCCUUGAAAGAAUGUAAACUUAGUUUCAGCCUCAAGCAGAGCUUGAAGUUUUUUUUUUUUGGUAAGUUAGAAGAGCUUGAAGUAUGUGUGGCAGUAGUCAUAAACUUUUUCAAAUCAUUUAAAGCCCAAACACUUUUCCAGUGAUUUGAUUUCAUAGUGUACAAUUGACCUUUUCUAUGAAUGUCUCCAAUUAUUGAUGCAUAUUCAAUAUGGUAUACAAAUAUUAUUUGUCAUGUUGCAUCUUCCUUUAUGAGGAAAUGGAGUUAACAUACAGAGAAGAGUAACAUAACACCUUUGCCAAAGGUCAUAAAAAGCUUAACAAAUGUUACUGCAACAAGUGCUUAGUUUGCAUAAGCAUUUGUCUGAUUGAAGGGAAACUCACGUAUAUAACUGGACGUUUUGCCAGUAUAAGCUGUCAUUGUUCUUCUUCAUCAAGAAUUCUGUGUAAACACCAGCCAAAGCUGAAAGACAAGCAGAUAAUAUGCCCAACAUGUAACCCUGAAUUGGAAAGGAAAAGAGCGAGUCACAGGAAGCCUCUCCGCAUCCUUUCACCUAUAUCAACAUAAGAAGAGAUAAUAUUAGCUUGUAAGAUUAGGCCUUAUCUGCAAAAGGAUAUAAUUUCCCUCUGUUCAUUUGGAUAUCAAAACAUUUAGAAAUCUGUUUAGAGGAACUGGCAUAAAAAGUUUAACAGAGGAAAAAGAAAACUCAGCCAAAAUCAUUUUUCAAAUAAAUUAGAUUAACCCAUUUUAACAUUUAAAUAUAUUGGAGAUCAUGUAGAUUUUAUCACCUAACUAAGUUAUAUCAAACAACAAAUAUAGAGAACAAGCUAUAUCAACAGAUCAACUCUUUGGGGGUCCCAAUGUACCGCUGAUCUGCAGUCGAUCAAAAUCCUCUAACUGUACAAUCAGAAUCCUAUAAAUGCACCAUUUUCCUAGACAUAAUAUCUAAAUCUGUAUACAUUAGUGUAUUGAUUGAAGUGCAGAAGUAUAACUUCUCAAAAAAGAAAAAACUACCGUUAGAAGUUGUCAAUCACAAAAACAACAUUGCAUAACAGAAAGUAAAGUUUUGAAGCUGGAAAACCUACACUGACAGGGAAGCCUGAGAUGACUAAAAUUGGUCAAAUACCAGAAGAAACAAGUCAUUUCGUGAUAGCGUCAUGAUGAAAAUAGUUGAAUAUAAAAAAAGCUAAAAGCACACAAGUAGCACCUGGCUUGUGGUUGUUCCAACAGCCAAUAACACAAUUGCCAUCCACUGCAAAUUAGACAGCUUCUUCUUCAAAAACAGCCUAGAACAUGACAAAGAAAUAUCUCCUAAUUUGUACAAAUCAUGAUCAACUGUAGAAAGUAAUAAACAACACCUCAAUGAGUGGAAGGAAUAAAUGUGGUGCUAUUUCACCUGAACAAAAUUCCCGUUGUAACAAUCUUUAAGUUGCCCAUAAUUUGAUACGUGGACGUGUCAACAUAAGUCAAUGUUGCAAACUGUACAUUGUUAUGGAUUAGGUAGAUGAUUGACGGAAUUGGAUACAAACGAACACUUCUCCAUUCUGUAGUCAUUUUUGGAGGAGGCACUCCUUGGCACUCUCUCCAUAGAAGAAAACUAGACACGAGAAGCUGCAUUAAAUAGACGCAUAUAAAUAGUGAAACCCUCAUCCAAUUGACCCCGAAUUUAAAGAUACAAUGAUUUUUUUUUUUUUUGCGCUGAAGAAAAUCAAUUUCUAAAUCGACGAGGAUCCCAUUGGCAAAGGUGGCUCAGUAUAAGACAUAUUCAGACAAUAGAAUGCCAUAAAACCUAAAUUCACAAAUUAGAAACUCGCAUGGACCAAAAGGGGCAAAGUAGUUCCUUCCUUUUCAUACAAGGAUGGUGCAAGCUAAAACUUUGGCACUUCCAUUUCUUUUGGAAAAAUAGCUCUUCUUUAAUCCCGAAUCCUUUUCUAUCAAACACGGGCAUUUUUUUUCUUCGACCAACCCAUUUAAUUUCCCGUUCGAAAGAUUUCAGAUGCUACUAUUAACGUAUCAAUGUUAAGAUACAGAUCUUUGGACAAUAUUAGUAGAAGGAAUAUACCUUGAAAACUUCAGCAAGAAAAGGGACGGUUGCAUAGUCAUAUUUGUAUUUCCCAUUACUCUGAGACAAUGUUGUUAAAAUCCCCUGCCAUAGGUAUAAUAUUCAGAUAAAAGUACGAAAAACCAGCAAAUAUAUUGCUCUAAUUCUUCAAGAAUUGUCCGCACUGGCAGCUAAAAAAAAAAAAAAAAAAAAAGAGCUCGAGAAAAAGCAUAUAACUUCAAAGGAGAGCGAAGUGGUAUGAUUAACUAAAGAGGUAAAAAGCAAGCAGAGAGAUGGGUUACCUGAGAGCUGGUGAGAACGGUGAGGAGAGAAGCGACGACGUACCACUUCAUUUUAGUCCUUCGCCGUCAGUUUGGCAGAGACGAUCUGCAAAACUGAGCUCUUUACUCGGCUAACGAUCGAUCUUGGAAAUGUUUUAUGAUUUUUCCCUUUCAUUUUAUGGUAUUUUCAGAAGUACCCCCUCCCUGUUUCUUUACGCGGGAGAAAAGUUUAUGAUUGCGCCCUUUCAUUUAUUGCGAUUUCCAGAAGUAUCCCAAUUCUUUUUUCACCUCCGGAUUCACCCCAUUACAAUUUGAGUCUAUCAACAGGUGCCUAAUCUUAUUAAGAUGUACUUUAGGUUUUAGAUUUUUUAAACGAAAGAUUAACUAGAUAUAAGCAAGUGAGGGUAAUAAUUAUUAGUGUGUAUAUAUACAUGAUAAAUUGGAUGAAAUUUAGACGUUCCAUAUUUAAGUAUUUUAGGUAUCCGUUAGAAAAAUUCAACACUAUUACACUUGAUGCUUGUGCUUUGAUUUUUUUUUUUUUACCCUCCCAUCCCUUCCACACCAUCUCUAGUGACACGAUUAUAUGAUUAUACUUGACACUAGUAUUUUGACUUGUUUUAAUCCUCCCAACUCUUUCGUACACUUAACUGUUAGACACGGAAUUCAAACCUUGAACCUAUCAAGGAGAGGACAUUAAGAACCUCCUUGACCACUAAGGCUAACCGCAAUAGUUAACACUUGUGCUUUGAUUAUAUAAACAAAAUGAGUAAUCUUUAAAAUAGAGGCACUAAACAAAUGGUAAUGAUAGGAGACAAAUACUAAUAAUUAAGAAUAGCAAAUACAUCUAGUAGCAUUAAGAAGAAGAAAAACUAUUAAUCUAGAAAAGAUUAAAACAAGCUGAUGUAUGAGAUUGCAAAAAAUCCCAAGCUGAUAAAUUUCAUUUGUGAUGUAGAGUUCAUUUAUCGCUAUGUAUUUAUUGAAGUUGUUAAAAUAAAAGUAAUUUCUUAAAGAAAUAUGAGUAAAAGUUAAAAUUACAUGUUUGCCUUAUAAACUAAAAGCAUCUAGAAAUGUGCUCUAUAAGAAAUAAAAUUUUGGUUAAAAAUGCACCAUAAUACCCUGUGAUUGAGUAAUAGCUUGUCUCCUGUGGUGUUAUGCACCAAAUUGCUAAAGCGCAAGGGGUUAUGGUGUAUUUUUUUACCGUAAUCCCCCUAUGGCCGUGGUUCAGUGAUACCUUUUUUUGCUUCUCAAUUUUAUCGUUAAAUUUUGAAAAUUGAUUGGCAUUUUUUAUUGUUCGGGAAGGAUAAACUAAAAGUCUAAAACUGUAAACUUUUCAGUUUGGCUUUUAAACUUUUCCUUACUUAUGUUUCAACGGACUUGAUGGUAUUUUAGGUAGAGAAGGUGAAAAAGUACUAAACCCAUUUGUGAAAGAACCACACAUUAAAUUUAGUGGCGUAACCUUUAAAACACGAGGAGUCUUGUCGUCCAUCUUGUACCAUUUUUUUUAAAAUGGCCAAUUUCGUCUCUAAAUUUUUUUACCGUGUCAAUUUAGUCCAUAUAUAAUUUUUUAGCGGUUCCAAUCGAGGAACACUGCGGCGGUGCCACCAUAUAAAUUCAAUCAAGUCACUAAUUGAACAACUAAGCAGGGGUAUUUCGGGUAGUUCACUGUUAGAAUAGUAACAAAAGAAGUAAAAUCUUUGAAGGACCCAAUUGUAAACCAACAGUUGGGUGCUGAGAUUUAUGUCGGCAAGAUUCCAAUCGAGUUUUGAGAAUAUUGGGGUUUUAUUGAAGAAGCUCCACUGGAUUUCAGUUUCCUCUGCUGUUCUGUUACUGACCAUCACCGCUCAGAAAUCCCUUUCCUCUACAAACCAGCAGAGCUCUUCUCUUCUUUACAAUUGGGUCCUUCGAGGAUUUUACUUCUUUUGUUACUAUCCUAACAGUGAACUACUCGAAAUACCCUGCUUAGUUGUUCAAUUAGUGACUUGAUUGAAUUUAUAUAGUGGCGCCGCCACAACGUUUCUCAAUUGGAACCGCUAAAUAAGUUUAGGAAUCAAAUUGGCCAAAAAAAUUAUACAUGGCCUAAAUUGACACGGUAAAAAAGUUUAGGAAUGAAAAUGGCUAUUUUCCCUUUUUUUUUUAACCCAAAGCACAAAGGAAUACUAAGGAGGUUCGGAAAGCACAAUGGAGUUUUGUGUUACUAAAUCAUAGGAGAAUACAGUGCAUUUUAUUCAAAAUCUUUCGGUAACAAAUUUCUCUCUAUAAAUCCUAAAAGCACGACGCAUAAUGGAAGAGAGUAAAUCAGCUUAUUUAAGCAAAAAAAGUUAAGUGUCAAUUGAUAAGCGAGGUGGGGGUCAAGGUUUCAAACCUUGUCUCUUACUAAUUGUCACAAGAAGUGGCUUCUCUAAAAAAUUCAUACGGAUGUGUAAUGUAUUCGUUUGAUCCGGUGGUGAUUCAGCCUCCAUUAGCCUCUAAAAGUCCAGUUGGACCUCCCUCUAAAUAGAUUAAAAUAGAGUGGAAUAUAGAUAAAGCAACGAUAAAAAAAAAAUGAUAAGCGAGGACAUCCAUAGACUAUAAGUUAGAAAAUUGUUUGAUACAUUUGAAUCUUUAAAAUGGUUUGCAUGGUUGAAAGUAACAAGUCAAUUACCAAUUGUAUCAAAGCUCAUCCAUAACCUCCAAUUAAUCUCCACACCCCCCAAACCCCCCCCCCCCCGGGGCGGGGUAUAGACUGUAGAGCUUGUCUUGGGGCAAAAUGGUAGUGCACAAAAGUACUUACACUAAAUUAUAAGAACACUGUUGUGUUUUAAGAAUUCAAAGCUCGCAUAUUAUUUAUUUGAGGCCUGCACCAAGUUUUAGUAGAAUGACGACACCCUCAGUCAAACGUGCAACCACGAAACUCGCACAAGAAUAUUGGCAUGAUCGAACUGCCAAAAUGAAAAGCUUGGAUUCUAACGGCCAGAAUGGAGGUUGCCAAGUGUUGGGAUAUCAAAGCAAUCCAGCAUUUUCCAAAAGAAAGAAAAAUCCAGACAAUGGAAAGAAGAGAAUAACCUGCAAUUCUGCCUUUAUGUAUAUUACCUUUCUGCUGACCAUAGGCUUAUUCAAGAGGACCCUAUUUUCAUUCUCGUGCAAUCGCUGUUGGAAAGACUCUUAAUGCCAAAUUUGAUUCUUCUUACAAGCCCAAUUGCCAACUUCAGGGAUUUUGCAAGAACUUAAUUAGUAGUAGUCAUUUUCUGCAUCCUGCUCUCAGCUUUCCGUUUUCUUGAUUGUCCUGGAAGGAUUUCUGUACAACAGGACAGAUUUUUGUUUCUUUCAUAGUUCUUGCCCAGGUUUCAGCCGGCAAUCAGCAUCUAGUCGCAUAGAGACCCAUCAUCGCCCGAUAAUCAAUCAAGGGUUUGCUUUCUGAUCUUUCUUGGGGUUGGCAAGGAGCCCUCAGGAGAGGUUUACCAUCUCCAAAUACCCCAGUUCAUCUGCUGGUGAGUUGUACUUUUCAUCGCAAUCAUCUCGUUAAUUACAGGCAUGUCAUUAGAAAUUGAUGUAGUCGCAUAAUCAUUUCACACAGGGCAUCCAAUAUGUAAUGAUUGAAUAAGGACCAAUGCUGAUACCCGGCCAAAUUCUGUUAGAUUAGUUGCUGCAACUUGUAAAAGCUAGUUAGGAACGGUUCAAUAACUAACGCUGGCUGAAGUUCUAUUAAUAGCCAAAAUGAUCUGCGAAAAUAAGCAGCUUGUGAAUUGUUGUAACUGCUGGUUCUCUCUCAAUUCAAUUCUCUUCUGGUUCUCUCUGUUCUUUCUUUUCUUUCCCUGUCUAACUCUUUCCUUAUUCUCUACUUUCUGUUCUUCUCUGUUCUGAUCAUUACACAGUAUCAGACACCUGUAAGAGUUGACGACGAUGGAGCAAUUCCGGCAGAUUGGAGAGGUGAUUGGAAGUCUCAAGGCAUUGAUGGUCUUUCAGGAUGACAUACAAAUUAAUCAGCGACAGUGUUGCUUGCUGGUUGACAUGAUGAAUCGUGCUUAUAAAACAAUUGCCAAGGAGAUGCAACAGAACCUGAGAUUUGAAGAGAAGAGUACGAAAUGGAAGGUGCUUGAAAGUCCCUUAAGAGAGCUCCUCAGGAUAAUUAGGGAAGGAGAAAUUUACAUCCGGCAGUGCCUAGAAACGAAGGACUGGUGGGUUAAAGCUAUAAGGCUUUAUCAGAAUUCAGACUGUGUUGAGUUCCAUAUACAUAACCUGCUCUGCUGCAUCCCCAUUGUUAUUGAAGCAAUUGAAAUUGCUGGAGAAAUGUCAGGAUGGGAUCAAGACGAGAUACAAAAGAAGAGACUUCUUUACUCGUUGAAGUAUCGAAAAGACUGUAAAGAUCCCCGAAUCUUUCAGUGGAAGUUUGGUAAUGAAUAUCUAGUUAGCCAAGAUUUCUGCAAUAGGUUACAUUCAGUGUGGGAUGAGGAUAGAUGGGUUCUGUUGAGAAAACUCCAAGAGAUACAAAUUUCUGGUUCAGUAAGUUCAACAAAGCAGGAGCAGCGACUCGCUGAUCUUCUUCUGAAGAACUUAAGUGUGUCAGGACCAGUUGAAGAGAAGCUCCUGCCUUCCUCCACCUUAGUGAGCUCUAAGGAUUACCAGGUCAGGCGGCGGUUAGGAAGUGGAAGCCAGUACAAGGAGAUUCAAUGGUUGGGUGAAAGCUUUGCUCUGAGACACUUUUUUGGGGACAUUGAACCAAUGUUUCCAGCAAUCUCUCAAGAAUUAGCUCUUACUCAUCCUAAUAUUAUGCAUAUCUUUUGUGCAUUUACUGAUGAGGAAAGAAAGGAAUGCUUCUUAGUUAUGGAACUCAUGAACAGAGAUCUUUCCAGUCAUAUAAAAGAAAUUUGUGGACCAAGGAAGCGAAUUCCAUUUUCUCUUCCUGUUGCAGUUGACCUUAUGCUUCAGAUUGCAAGAGGAAUGGAAUAUCUCCACUCAAAAAAAAUCUAUCACGGAGAUUUGAAUCCUUCAAACAUUCUUGUAAAAUCCAGAAACAUCAAUACAGAUGGUUACUUGCAUGCAAAAGUUCGCACAUUUGGACUUCUCUCCUCUGUCAGCCUCCCUCAGAAAUCCAAUUCCAAUCAGAAUGGGCAGCUUCCAGUCAUCUGGUACGCUCCAGAGGUGCUAGCAGAUCAAGAACAAUCAGGCAAUGCUGAUAACUCCAAGUACACGGAGAAGGCAGAUGUGUAUAGUUUUGGGAUGAUUUGCUUUGAGCUUUUAACAGGGAAAGUCCCUUUUGAAGAUGGCCAUCUCCAAGGAGAUAAAAUGAGCAGAAACAUUAGAGCAGGGGAAAGACCACUAUUCCCAUUUCACUCGCCAAAAUAUUUGACGAAUUUGACAAAAAAGUGCUGGCACGAUGACCCAAACCAACGUCCAAGUUUUGCAUCCAUCUGCAGAAUUCUCCGGUACAUAAAGAGAUUCUUGUUGAUGAACCCUGAUCAUAGCCAGCCAGAAACCCCAGUGCCACUCGUGGAUUACAGUGAAAUUGAGACAGUGAUCUUGAGGAGCUUUCCUUCUUGGGCAGAAUCCAAUAUGUUGCCCAUAUCAGAGAUUCCCUUUCAGAUGUUUGUAUACAGGGUAGCAGAGAAGGAAAAAUCAAAUACAAGCCAGAGAGAAAAUUCUGAAUCAGGAAGUGAUGCUUCAGCAUGUGGGGAUGAAAGUGCAACUGUGGAUGAUCCAUUACCAUCACCCUCUGAAAGGAGGUCUUGUGCCUCUCCAGAAACUAUGAACAGGAGAAUGCUAUCGUCCAAAAAAUCAGCAGAUGUCAAACCCAUUAAACAGCCAGGUUAUCUCUUCACUCUGUCUAUUUGAUGCAUGAUUAUCAAGCAGCAAGCAUCUGUGGAGAAAAAAAAGACAGAAUAUGUUCAAAGCUGUGCUCACAAACUACAACAAUAAAGGUCAUAAUUUUAAACUCAUCCAUUAAAACUUGGAAAAUAAGUAUUUUGCUUCUUAAGUAAGGACCCUAGCAUUACAGAUUCAGAAACUGAGAAUUUACUUUUAUUAGGAUAAACAAAUCACUGGAGGUAUUUGAAGCGCUUAGGUUUGUGCUUCUGCAUAACAUCAGAGAAUUAGCUUUCCUAUGAAUACACCCAUAAUGAUCCCUAGGGGAAAAGCAAAUGGGAAACUGUAACCCCAUCAGAUAACUUAUCUCAGCAUAUCAUCAUGACUUAUAACUCUUAAGAACCUAUAGAAACCUAAAAAUUUCAAACCUGGUAUCAACAAACUUAAUUCUGUAUUCCAGUAACUCAAUGUAAACAUGAAAGCAAGUAAUAGAACUUGCCCGACUAGAGAAUACACAAAAGAAUGUGCCUGGUUGCUCUUAAAAACACGAAAUAAAGAAAAGAUACACUUAAGCCAGACUUAAUUACUUCAUCGUAAACUUGUAUAGAUAAUCUCUACCCAAAUAUCUGGGAUAUGCAGAUUCAGUCUUAAGUCUUAAAGUUUAGACACAUAUCACAUACAUCUUAAGAUUUUAAAAUGGACACAACUAUUACACAAAUGACAUACAAGCAUCGUCAAAUGAUCGGUGUGAAACUUUUAAGUGCCAUCACGGUACUUCAUAAACCAGAAUGCUGUAAUGAAACAAAGGCAGCAAUUUGAUCCUUUGCCCUAGGAAUGACGAAAUACUGUAUUGUGUGCGUUUUCUAUAAGCCUGAUGUUUAAGUACUGAAGUAUACAAUAUUCUCUAUACACCACCUAUUACAUUCACUACCUCAAAAUACAAACGGAUCGAGUAGUGAAUGUUUCUUCUUUUAGACAAAGUUGAUCCAGACAAACGGGUAUCAACAUGAAAGAGGUUCCAAUAACAGAACAACAUGGUGAACUAACAUUAUCUCUGAAAUGUGUUAUAUACAGGGACACCAAAGGGUCGAGUAAGGCCCCCUCCUAUGUCUUCUUGUGGACGGACUAUGAGGAUGAAUUCAGAAAGCCAGUUAAUGGUAAUGAGUCCAAGACGGAGAGCAUCUGGUCACGUAUCAGAUUCAGAGCUCUCAUAGCCCUUUGUACGAGAGUAUACAAAUUAACCAGAAAUAUGCCCCGAAAGCAAACCAAAUGGAAGUGGCAUGCACAUCCACUCGCAGUUUCUGGGCAGAGUGGAGAAUCUAGGGAUAGUGCACAAAGUCAUGGUUUCUAUUACUCACAGUUUGCUGGUAUUAGAGACUUAGAGUGAAGUGAUUAAAUAGAAAUCUAAAAAAUUGCCAAAUGCAAAGACAAUGUUGCUAUGCACCGUCAGACCCGGAGACCGUAGAGGCUCCUACAAGACCUCAGUUGUGAAGCUAGAAGUUCUUUGUUUUAGCCAAAUUUUUUGAAGAUCAGUGUGACUAUACUAAGUUCCUCAUGUGAGGUACUCCAAGAUAAAAAUGUGAUGGAAGUCAUCUUUUUGGUGUUUGCUCUAGCAGGAUUCUGAAGUCUUGUUUUCCCCUGGAUUUCUGGUGGUUUCAUUCCUGAUAUGUAUCUCUUUGUGGGGAUUUGCCGGAUCAACAAGAUUAUGUGUAAAUGCCCUCGAGAUGUGUUCAUCAGAACCAAACAAUCACAAUCUAAAGUUAAGGCACCAUUGAUGAGAUAUUAAUGUUACUUUACGUAGAGACCUUUGAAGAUUGAACUUGAAAGAACUGCUCCAAGCAAGUUGAACUGCUGUCAGCUUCAUUUUAUCACUGCACAAAGGCCAUGGUAUCACACUUCAAUAACUGCAAAGCAGAAAUUUAGAAUUAGCCCAGCAAGAAAAAAUAAAAAAGUUAUUAUAUCUCACAUACACUUUAUGCAAAUAUCAAAGGAUAAAAUGUACAUGAGCAAAUGGAACUCAGCCAAUAGCUCCUCCCAACAGAUUAGAGGAAAAAGCCCGGAUACUCAGUGGAUGCUACACAAAUUUCUUGGAGUAACAGGUCAAAAAUUUUCUUACAGAUAAUAGUACAUGAUUUUCAUUAAACAAAAACAUUCUUAUAUAGAAAAGUCAGUUGCAAAUUUACCUUGUCCGAGCUUAUUUUGAUAAGGAGCAUAUCUCACAUCUCUUCACCAAUCUUCAGAGAAUAUGAAAUGGGGAUUCUAUAAAUGCUCAAGCUUUACAAGCAGUUCACCUUUUACCUGAAGCAAUGUGUAACAUUUACCAUUUGUCUUAUCAUUGGCAGUCAUCUUGUUUAAUUUUGAGCAACAAUGGAAAAGUGCCUUUAAGUGGACCUGAACGAGUAUGCAAACAGCUUCAACAAUACAAGUCCUGAAACUUUAAGCGGAGCUAACCAUGAAGAACUCAUGUGAACUGCUAAAGGUGAGUGCCAGUUCCAAAAUAGCAGCAAUUUGCCGAGAAUCAUGUGAUCAGAAAACUGUGAUUCAAAUGUUCAUGGUAGAAUGGAGCUUUCUCAGACCAUUUGCAAUAGCUUUAUACUACCACUUGAGUUUGCAGCAACAACUAUGUUAGAUUUUCUUCUAAAGCAAACACUUGAAACAAACUGCCCAUUGCUCUCAUCAAGUUCAUGACCAGAUAUAGGAUCAAAGGACCCAAACUUAUGAGAAGCAAUCGGCAUUGGCAGAGAUCUGUAAUACGCAAAAACCUGAAAGAACAAUAUGUCCUUAAGAUGAAAGAUAAAAGUCCAGGGAAGCAAUAGAAUACUGAUAAAACUCUUUACUUAUAUUCCACCCUGACCUAAUGCAUAAUAUAACUGCACCAAAGAAUUGAAGAUGGAACGAUUUACAUCUAAUGCGGAACCAGAGAAUCCAUUACUUUUGAAUUGUUGGGCAAUCAAAGCCACUAAGAUGCCUCACACCCAUGCAAGGUGCUUACAGAACAGUUUACCUCUCGAAGGCCAAGGCAGUAUGAGAUAAGACGUGAUAUGGAAACUAUACCCAAAACUUCAGAUGCUGCACUAAAUAUGUUAGGAAGAUCUGUUUUUCCUUCCAACCCCAGCCCCUGUUCCCAUAAUCUCUUUUUCUUCAUUUGGCAGCUCUAGAUAUGCAAGUCAUCACAUAUUAGAGAGAAAGAAAGAUAUGCAGGUAUAUAACAUCCAUAUUCAACCGAGUCUCUAGAAACUAAAUCAAGUAGUAUAUUUUUGAAGUAGAUUUUACCGAGAUACAAGGUGUUUACCUCAUUAGUUUCAGAACCACAUGCUAUAUAUCCAUCUAAAACAGAUAAACCAACAAAAUUCUGAAAAAUCAGAGGAUAAUAGUCAGGAUAAACAUAGAGGACAUACACCUCAAGCACAUUCUAUAUGAAGACUGAAAAGCUGACCUUCUCAUUAGUAUGUCCACUAAAGGUCAAGCUGCAAGCAUUCGAAAUAGAACCCUCAAUGGUAGUGUUCUUGAGGUCCCAAAGCUUCAAGGUGUUAUCCGUGGAUGCAGAAACAAGAGUUUCUGAAUCCAUGAACUUCACAUAGCUAACUGCCUUUCCAUGGCCAGCUAAUGCACACCAAGGAAUUCUUGUGUGUCGAAGAUCAUAACAGUAGAUCUUGUAAUCAGCAGAACCAAAAGCCAAAAUAUAUGACGAGCAAGUAGAGAAUUGAACACAGCAAACAUUGGCAGGAUUCCAUAUUGUUCCAAUAGAGUUUCUCUGUGAAGGCAAAUUCAAAAUUGCUGCCCUUUAACAAAUCAUGUCUGAAUAAAAAAAAGUCUACGGAUUAUGGUAGUAUCUAAUUCCAGAACUAUUGUAUAUAAGGUCAAAAAAUGAUUGAAUCACAUUAUAAUUGUCAAGCUUUAGGAUUUUGGAUGAACAAAAAAUGAAUAAUUGGAUUUUGUUUUCUUCUCUAGCAGCAGGUAUUUUGACCACAUGAAGAGAACAUGCAAUACAGUUAAUUACAACUGCUCAUUGACACAACUCCCACAUUAGAUCCAUAUCAGCUAGUGACCAUGCAUAAUGCUACCUAGAAAGAAUGAAUCUCAUACCACCAAAAGAGACAGUUAACCGACUUAUGCGCAUUGCAUUUGAUAGUCUUCUCCACAUAAAUAAGCAGGGAUGGCCAUGCAUAAUGUUUGUUCAAUGCUCAUGUAAUAAACAACUGAUCUACAAUGAAGCUUAUUGGAUUUGUAUUCUUCCUGUAAAAUCAAGAAUUGCAUAUCCAUCAGCUAUAUAAGUUUACUCAGAAUUCUAGGUCACCAUCUUUAAAUUUCUAAACCAAUGCAAGCUCUUAAAAGCAUAACAAACUUCUAUUUUUGACCACUAUGUGAAGAAAAUUGUGUGCCAAAUCUGUUAAUUGGUAUGAGAAAUCAUACGUCAUUGAUGCUCCACAAUUUCACAGAACAAUCAUCACUUCCACUGGCAAACUUUGCUGGAUCCACACAAGAAAAGUCAACAGACCAAGCCCUCUUCUGGUGCUCAAUGUAUUGAGCAAAGCAUUGACCAUUGCUUGCAUCCCAGAUCUGCGCUUGAGUCAAAACAACCAAAAUUCAAGAAAGAGUGUCUUGUCCAGUACUAGAUUGCAGAACCAUGUUUAGUGAAUGGUACCAUAAUUAAGAUAAAACUUGCAAAAAGGAGAGAAAGAAAUGGACAAUCCUCUAACAGUAAUGCUCAGUAAAAAGGUAGCCAACCUCUAGGACCAGAAAAAUGCAGCUUAGAAAAAUAAUUUACAGCAAUAAACAACCUAGCAAGAGCAUAAAACAUCAUUUAAGUGAAGGUUUGAUGAGGAUUAAGUCAAGUUCAAACAAAAGGAUUCAUAUAAUUGCAUGCAAUCCAGACAAAACCAGAACGAAAAAUCAUAAGACAAACAGGCAGAGACUGAUAAUGGAUUAGCUUGCCUUGUUUUCGUACUUAUUCUUAGACAUGCUCAAUAAUAUGUGGAAAGCACACACCUGCACUAUACCAUCAUAAUCUGUAGAAGCCAAAAAGUGCUGGAUAUAUUGGUUCCAGCAAACACAACUAAGCUUAGAUCUGUUUGACAUCUCAACCAUAGGAUACUGAAUGUCAACAGGGUCAUCCAGAAGUGAACCAAACUCAAAGAUUUUGAUUUUCUUUGAGACCCCUGCAGCAGCAAUAUACUCCUCAUCCCGAUCAAAACUCAAAGAGCAAAUGACAUUUGCAGAGUUUAGAAAAUCAGCGUUCCACUUUGUUCCACACACUUGAAAGGUACUAUAGCGAGCAAAUCUACAAAUGCCUUCAAAGAAGACUCCAACUCGAUCAAUCAGUUUUUCUUCCAUGUUUGGGUCUUUAUUUGCAUCUUGAGCCUCAAACCACUUCUCACGAAUACUCAAUAAGGCCUUGUCUGCUCUUUCCAAGGAAGAAUUCUCUGUGAUUUGGGCCUGAGAUUUCAGAGAGAAAUAAGCAUUUUCCAGCUGGCUGAUGUUUUUCAUCAAAUUUAACUUUUCUUCAAUCAUACUUCUUGAUGAGAAUAUUCUUGGAAGAAUUUCAAUAUCAUCCCUAUCUUUAGAAACAAGACUUGACCUUGAAGCACUUAAACGUUGGUCCAUCCAAUCUGAGUAAAAUUCUUGUUCAUGUCUGCUUCCAAUUUUUCUGAUAUCUGUUUCUAAGCAUUUUAUACUCUCCAGUAAACUUGAAACAUGAUUCUGCCUUUGUUCCUUAAGCGAAUCUAGAAAAUGAAGUAAGAGCUCUGAUUCUACAUCCUCUUCUUUCUCCAUCAUUGAUGGUGCAUUAUCUCCCACAAGGACAUCCUCGGAACUAUAAAUUGAUUCAGAUUGUAGGAUUUCCCUUUCAAAGAACAAAUUGAUUUCUGAAUAUGCUGAAUUAUAACUUUAAGUAGAAUUGCAAAUUCACGUAAUUACAUAUCUUUCUUAUUUUUUAUGGAAAAGGAGGCAUAGAUUGCUACUUAACAAAUAGAAAGCAAAGAGUAAAUGAAGCUCUUGUACUUAAUAUUCACAGACUUUCUCUUGCAUGCCAGGCACACCAGGAGGCUCCUUUUAUUUGAUCUUUGACAUUAGCCUGGCAAUGAAGCAACCUGACAUUGCCCUAAAGCCUGCCCUUAGGAUAUUUUAACAUAUCUGAGCUUAUAUUCAUCCAACUAAAAAUGUUACAUGAGUUGUAACAAGAAGUUAAUACUACUUUUAGCUUGUGAAAGUAUUCUUGCUGAGAAGCGUCUUCAGGACUAAGUCAACUCCAAUUAAGUAAGUAUCCAGUGGACUGUUUAUUUAUAUUUAUAUUUAUAUUUUUGAUGUGUGUGUGUGUGUGUGUGAAAGCUUUUGGAUAAGUAAAGACAAAUUUUGCAUGAAUUUUGCUUCCUCCAGAACAGAUUUAUCACAGUGAAAAAGCAUCUGGCAUAUAAUUAGUGCAGUAGAGGCAGACAACAGAAAAAGACUGUUUGUCCUAUACCAACCUAAGGCAAGUGUAGACAAUGUUGGAAAGAAAAUUUAUGCUUUCAUACAGCCAAUUCUGAAGCAGUUAUUAUAUGUGUGGACAUAUAUCCUACUUAUUCUAUGGAUAGGGAAAGACAAUAAUCCAAAGAAGAAAAACAAGGAGGCAGCAGCCAUACUGACAGAUUAUCAGGGAUACACCCAGUUUAUGGUGCGACUUAUCACUAUCGCCUUUUGCAUGUAAAUUUGAUUGAAUGAGAAAUCUGAACUGCCAUAGCUACCAAGGUACUACCGUCUAGUUAGGCCAUGAGAUUCAUGAAUGUUGCUCUUAGCAUCUUGAUAAAAACACCCAUGACUAAGACCAAGGUUACAAAUUUUUAGUAAAAUUACGACAAAGGGAAGUUAGAUGAUAUUAUUAGUCUUCCAACAGCUCAACUAGUUUAUUGCUGGCUGUCUUGUCAUAUGUGUCACUUCAACACUACUUUUCUCCUAUUUUUGUCUUUCUUUUGUCUCAUUUAUAAAGUUUACAAUUCAGCAAGAAACUAAGGAGUGAAGUAGUAACAGUAUAGUACCUUGUUGUCGGACGGCACGAAGGUUCAGGAUGAAGCAGCCAAAAGCAAAAACCAGCUUCCUUUGGAUUUUCAGAAAGAAAAUUUGCAGGUAGAAUUCGGUCUCGCAAAUCCAACAUGGCUGCGAAAUGCAACUCCGGUGAUGCGAAUUGGCAAAGUAACUGAAAAAAGGAACUGAUGUCAGUGCAGAAUCAGGAUAUUAAUAUCAGUUAAUGAAUCAUAAAUAUAAAUUGCAAUCUUCAUAUGUGUAUUAUAUAUCUAUACAAUUUUCUAUCCGAGAAGGUAAAAGAGCAAACAUCCUUGCAUACCCUAACAGCAAAUGUGCAGAAAAAGUGAAAUGAAAGGAAACUCAGUGCUAACAAGAUCCACCAGAGCACUGAAGGCCAAGGGCUGCUAUUGCAAGUAUCAGUCUGGACAAGUGCAAUUACCUAUUUGAGCAUUACUAAGGCGAACAUGUGCAUCUAAUGUAAACCAGUAGAAAGAACUUCUAAGCAGCAUAUUAAUACCCCAUAUCACAUUCCCAUGUUGGACUACUAUUACAUUGCUGCUGAUCGGUCUUCAACCAAAAAGAAUUGCAAAGGAUAUUUGCUAGUCAUGAAACUUUCCCAAGGCCAACAGAUAAUAGCCUAAGGUUCUUGGGUAAAAACCAUUUAAACGGGAAUAUUAUAAUAUACUUUGCUGGAAGGUAUGACAAGAAAUCGCUCCACAAAUGUACUCAAGGACUUAAUUCUCAAAUACUCCUCUAAAACUAUUCAGCAAACCCAACAAGAUAAUCCGUAGCAGGAACAAAGAAAAAAAAAAGAUAUGCUUAAUAUGUUUAAAUCUCCAUGAGACUCAGGAAAUAAUGUUUUCCUUUUGUUAUGAAAAGCCAUACACAGAAGUGAGGAACUUCAGGUCGUAUAUGUGACCUAAAGUUUGUAUCAUCCUCCAAAAUACAGCUGUCAUCAAACCAGGAAAUGAAGUUGUACUUGCCAAACUCAUGAUUUCCAGCGUCAUUUACCAAAAGCAAACAACCCAGAUAUUCAGAUUUAUCUUAGUUUUCAAAAGUUCUACUGGAAAUAAAGCUUGUAAAUUUUGACCGUCAAUAGUUUAGGUAAAAUCAAGUACAAAAUCAACCAAAAGGUAUCAAGAAAAGGAAUGGAAACUUGAAGGAUAAUUGAGUAAGAUUACAAAGGAGGGUAUUGGAAAGCAAAAUAUUUCAAGAUAUUUCCAACCUCAAAUAGGAGAAUGCCUAGAUUGUAAAUAUUUGAUGACAAUAGGCCACUGCUAUGAAGCUCCUCUGGACAAGCAUACCACUUCUUUUCCAUUUGAACCACCUCAGGUUCCAAUUCAGACUUGGGCCCAAUAGUUUCGUUAACUGUGCAAUAGGCAGAAAAAAUUUGAGAUUCAUGUCUCAUUGAUUCCAUGUCCUUGCCAAGCUUUUGCUUCUUUACAAGCAUUUCUCUCUGGUCAUAGGCAUCCUGCUCCAAUGGCUUUUUCUUAGUCAUAGCUUGGUUCACCAUGGUCAUCAAUCCUAUUGGAACUGAUGAACCAGUGUACUUAAUGCUAUCAGGUGAGGCAAAAAUGAAUUUGGAUGGCCUCAAGUCUAGUAGUCCAAUUCCUUCACAGUGUGCUAAAUCCACUAACUCCACAAUCAGUUUAAAUAAGCGCAGCCUCUCAACUUUCUUCAUCUCAGAAGCCCCAGAACUUAGCCAAUCUCUCAAAGUGAUCUUACCAUGAGAUGCUACAGGUCCUACCAGAUACUUAUCAGGCAACGGAGGCAGACUUUGAGAAGCCUUUGUGUCCGCCAACACGCCAGAAUUAUGGGCGCUAAGAGUAAUCAAUUGUUUUUCAUAUUGCGUCAUGGCUGCAGAAUGAGGUCUGUAAUGAACUUCAGGUUCUGUACAUUCAACAGCCUUAUCCUCGCGAGAUUGUUUCCUGAAGAAAUUAGUAAAGCUAGAAGAUUGUAAUACUUUUGAACGAUCAUCCCCACCAGGCUGUUGAUUGCUUUGAGUGUGCGAGCGACAAUUAUCUGCAGAACGAGUGGAAACUCCACCUAGGACUUUAUUCUUCUGUUUUGUCAUCAAAGGUUUAAGCUCCUUAAUACCCACAGACUCCAUUUCCUUCUUCUCCUUCGAACUUAAUGAUAUUCCACCCUGCUUCUCGGAAACUGAUGCUCCAGAAAAAUUCCUACUCCUUAUCCCCCCUGCCAAUCGAAAAAAAUUUUGCCACAUAUCCUUCUGCCUAUGAUUGAUUGCCUCACAAUCAUUUGUGCUGCUAACCGAAGCCAAGAUGGAAGUCUUAAAAUCUCUCUUCGUAGAUUCUUCAACUGCGUUCCCUUUCCCCACAUCAGUUACAGAAUAAGCCUUUGUACGGGGGACAUGUUGAUUUCCCAGAGCCAUCACAUAUCUGUUUGACAAACCCUUUUGCAAUUGAUCUCCGUCGGAGUUGGUGGAGCUUCCUAGCAAGUCAGAAACGGUAGAUACACGCAAUCCUGACGAUUCUGAUCUAGUGCUGCAGCCCUCUUGCUCUUUAUCAAGUUCUGGCUCUUUACUCUUAUGUUCAACGGUAGAUUUAUCCUCAACAUGCUCCAUUUUUCGUUCUCAAUUAAGCUCAUCAAUCAAGCAACUAUCCCAUUCUAUACGAGACAAUAUCAUAACUCAAAAGUCGAGAUCCAAAAAAAAUAAAGAAAAAACUUGUAACAAACUAUGGAUAAUCAUACCUUGAAGAAAUGACGAUAAACAGAAAAUCCCAGUUCAAAAGAGCUUAAUUUGAAGAAAUGAGCGUCCCAACUUCAACAAUCACAUAUUAAAAUUAAAAAAUCAAACAAAGUCCCCAACUUUCCACGGUACUGAAAAGGGAUCAGACAAGCUCAGAGCAAGUUCGGAAAGAACCGAAUGAAUCUAAACCCCUAAAACUCCAGAUAAAGAAUAGAGCUUGCCUGAAAUGUGAGAAACUAUCUUCAUCAUAGCAUUAAAAAAAAAUUUGGCUCCCAUCAAGGCAAGGGCCGACAAUAACAGUUGCGCUGCGGAGCAGAGAGCUGUAAGCCUUACAGGAUUUCCGUCCGGUUUCCCCACACCCCGUUUUAUAAUUAGUAUAAAACAUGGACUGGAUAGUGGAUACUGGCGUGAGUGAAUUAAAAUAACGCCUUUUUCUUUUCGCGAAUACCUAAAUUAGAGAUACCGCCCUUUUUUGUUUUAAAAAAAUUUGCGGUAAGCUCUCCAGAUUAAUUGCAGUAACGUUUUUUGUCAAUUGGAAUUUGGGUCACAUAUUGCCCCCGUUGAGCUUUCAGGUCAGUCACGAUUUCCCAUCCUCAACCUUAAAAUUAUCCAUUUGAAAAUCUUAAUUCUAUCAAACAAAAAUGAGUGUAAUAAUAACACUCAUUGCCUUGUUGCUGAAAUUAUUUAUAGUUUACUGUUAUUUUUCUUAAAAAAAAUGGAAAUUUGAUUUAAUCUCUAUCUUUCUCCUUUAAGUUUAAGGAUAAAGCAUAUUAGCCCUUUUCAACCAUUUUGGUUAAGUAUUUGAUAUUUGAUUAAUUUGACAAACAAAAAAUGUAUUCUAACAGUUUACAUAAACCAAAACAAAAAAAAAACUAUUUUAAAAAAAAUAAAAAUUUUAAUAUCACUUUUUUUCUCAAUUUUUUUUGCUAAUUGCAUUUAUUGUUAUUACUGUAUUAUUUAUCUUUAUUGUUUGAUUUAAAUUCUAAUAAAUUGAAUGAAAUGCAUAAAAGUCCAAUAGCAAAAUUUAAGGAUAAUAAACUAAAUGUAAACCCUUUUUAGCUUUGAUGAAUUUGAUAUUUUUGUACAGUAUAUUCUAUAGAGAAAAUGUAUCUUUUAGCAAUAGAAGGAAAUAAUAGUAAGUUAUAGAUAAUUUUAUAAAUAAAAAGGCAAUAAUAUUAUUACACUCUUUUUUUUUUGUUUUGCAUUUCUAACUUUAACUAGUUUUCAUGGGAGUGAAGUAUAUAGCAUAUUUUAAGGUUGAGGGUGGUGAAGUAUAACUACCCCCAAAAUUCAGGGGAUGUUGUGAAGUGGGCCUCCAUCUUGAAAGAUGAGUAUGGCGCCUCACUUUGAUAAAUAGAAAGGCUGCACAUGUUGUUGGAUGUCAAGGCAACGCAGAUUGGAGCAAAAGGACGGCAUCACGUGAUAUUCAACGGUGGCUGUAUCUCCGAAGCAAAACAACCGACUAAAGUUCCUAUAUAUAUGUACUAGUAGCAGGAAGAGAUGAAUAGAAAAAAAGAAGCAAUUCUACUAAUUCCAGUUCCAUUUCUCUUUCUUUCUUUCUUCGUUUUCAUUCUUUACUUUUUGUUCGUUAAAGUUCCAAAUAUAAUACAUAUUAGACUAGUUUCAUAAUACGUUAUUAGCACGAGCCUCUGCCAAAAUUUUACCGGUAUAAAUUGCUUUGCCAAAGCCCUGUCAGCGUCAAUUCCCGAGGACAAUUCGUAAGUGCAUUUUGGGGUAAUAUUCCUUGCCUUUAUUUCAUUUUAUUUUUUUAUUAUGGCCAACCUUACAAAGCAGGAAUUUGUAUCACUCAAUAUUUCUGGCAAAAAUUAUCUAUCCUGGGCAAUAGACGUGGAAAUGCAUCUGGAGUCCAUGGGUCUUGGUCAAACCAUUGUCAAAGGCAAUAAUGCUACAAGCCAAGAUCGAGCCAAGGCCAUGAUAUUCCUACGUCAUCAUCUUGACCAGGGUUUAAAAAUGGAAUAUUUGACGGACAAAAAUCCACUUGACCUUAGGACCGAUUUAAAAGAAAUGUUCGACCACCUGAAGUUGGUCGUACUACUAAAGGCAAGAUAUGAUUGGCUCCACCUAUGCCUACAAGAUUUUAAAACUGUAGCUGAAUAUAAUUCAGUUAUGUUCCGGAUCACUUCCCAAUUAAAAUUAUGUGGGGAAAGUGUGACCGAUGAGGAUAUGUUGGAAAAAAUAUUUUCCACCUUCCAUGUCUCGAAUGUGCUCCUGCAGCAGCAAUAUCGAGAAAAAGGGUUUAGAAAAUAUUCUGAACUCAUUACAUGCCUUUUAUUAGCGGAGCAAAAUAAUGAGCUAUUACUAAAAAAUCAUGAGUCCCGACCAACUGGUACUAGUCCAUUCCCCGAAGUGAAUGUGACCCAAGCCUCAACUUCCGGUCAUGGUCGUGGAAGAGGUCGUGGUCGCGGACGUGGCCGUGGCCGUGGUCGUGGACGUGGCCGUGGUAGAUUUGUGCCUUAUCAUUAUAAUGAUUAUAAUCAUGAUAAAAGGCCAAAUUACCCCCAGAAGCGAGAACGAGACAAUAAUAUGGAGCAAGGCGAGCAAAAGAAACAAUAUGAAGAUAAAUGCUUUCGAUGUGGUAUGGAAGACCAUUGGUCCCGUACCUGCCGUACGGCCAAGCACCUCGUCGACUUAUAUCAAGCAUCCCUGAAAAGAAAAAAAAAGGUGUCGAGACCAAUGUUAUCGAGCAAAAUAAUAUUUUUUAUGAUGUUAUAAAUACCGAUAUAACGCAUCUAGAUGUAGCCAAUUUUCUUGAGCAUCCUGACGGUGCCAAGUGAUCAACGGCCCAAUGUUUAAAUUUUUGUUAUUUUGUUUUUAUAUAAUUUUUUUUAUCAGUUGUGUAAUUUACGACCUUUAUUAUCAUUUGUAUUUUAUUUUGUUAAUAGUUGUAUUUUAUUAAUGUUUAUUUUCUUUGCUUUCUUCCUGAAGAAGACAUCGCUUUUCUUCUUAACGAAGAAAUUACCUUUAUUCCUGAAGAAGAAAUUGAUGUCAAAUAUUUGGGAUUAACUAAUAUCGAUGAUAAUAUUUGUCUCAUUGAUAGUGCAACUACGCACACCAUAUUAAAACAUAAAAAGUAUUUUUCCCAUCUGAAUAUGGGAGAAAUAAAUGUCAAUACGAUAUGUGGUAGUGCCAAAUUGAUUGAAGGUUCCGGAAGAGCCACUAUAUAUCUCCCUGAAGGAACUAAAAUAAUGAUACCAAAUGCACUACUCUCUACCAAGUCUCGAAGAAAUUUGUUAAGUUUUAAAGAUAUUCGCCGAAAUAGAUAUCAUCUCGAGACAAUUAAUGAGACAAAUGCAGAAUAUUUACUGAUCACAAAUACCAUUUCUGGCAAGAAAUGUGUAUUAGAAAAACUGCCUUCUCUUUCAUCUGGAUUAUAUUAUACAAAAAUAAGUGCAGCUGAAAUAAAUCAUCUAGAGGACCAGAAGUCCCCUAAUCCCAAUAACUUUAUAAUUUGGCAUGAUCGCCUUCAACAUCCUGGCAGUAUAAUGAUGAGGCGAAUAAUCGAGAAUUCGCAUGGCCAUUCAUUAAAAAGACAAAAAGUAUUAAAUUCUAAUGAAUUCUCAUGUGUUGCCUGCUCACAAGGAAAAUUAAUUGUUAGACCAUCACCAGCCAAAGUAGGAACUGAAUCCCCUACUUUUCUAGAACGAAUUCAGGGUGAUAUAUGUGGGCCUGUAGAUCCACCAUGUGGACUAUUUCGCUAUUUUAUGGUGCUAAUUGAUGCAUCAACUAGAUGGUCACAUGUAUGUUUAUUAUCCACUCACAACUUAGCGUUUGCGAGAUUACUUGCUCAAAUAAUAAAGUUGCGAGCACAAUUUCCUAAUUAUCCAAUCAAGAAAAUUCGUCUAGACAAUGCUGGUGAAUAUUCCUCACAUGCAUUUGAUGAUUAUUGCAUGUCGAUUGGUAUAACAGUUGAACAUCCUGUAGCCCAUGUUCAUACACAAAAAGGUCUAACUGAAUCAUUUAUUAAAAAGUUAUAAUUAAUUUCUCGACCAUUAUUAAUGAAAGCUAAACUCCCAGUAUCGGCAUGGGGGCAUGCUAUAUUACAUGCAGCAACACUUGUGAGAAUCAGGCCGACUAGUUAUCAUAAUUAUUCGCCCAUGCAAUUCGCUUUUGGUCAUGAACCCAAUAUUUCUCACUUGCGCAUAUUUGGGUGUGCGAUCUAUGUUCCUAUUGCACCGCCCAAACGCACCAAAAUGGGCCCCCAACGAAGGUUAGGUAUAUAUGUUGGAUAUGAAUCACCUUCGAUAAUUCAUUAUCUUGAGCCAUUAACAGGUGAUUUAUUUACUGCUAGAUUUGCAGAUUGUCAUUUUGAUGAAUCGCAUUUUCCGACAUUAUGGGGAGAUAAAAAUCAAUCGAAAAAGGAAAUCACUUGAAAAAUAUCCUUAGAUUUCCUUGAUCAUCGUACCAAACAAUGUGAAUUGGAAGUUCAAAGAAUUAUACAUUUGCAACAAAUUGCAAAUCAAUUACCAGAUGCAUUUAGUAAUGCCAGUAGAGUUACUAGAUCAUACAUUGCUGCAGCAAAUACCCCGAUAAAACUGGAUAUCCCAAAAGGACAAAUUAAAAGUGCUAGCGAAUCUAAUACACGCCUGAAGUGUGACAGGCCUCUCGGUUCCAAAGAUAAAAAUUCUCGGAAGAAAAGGGGAAUAAAUGAUAAAAUCGAGGAUUUGCAAAUUAUUCAAGCACCUCAAACAACUGAUAGUGACAAAACUCAAUUUUCUAAAGAAAUUGCUCUUGAAGAGCCCGCUCCUGAAGAAGUGAUCGAAAAUUCAAUAAAUUUUGUCACUACAAGAAAAGGUUGGAAUCGAAAAGAUAUAAUCAUUGACAAUGCAUUCGCAUAUAAUAUAGCACUUGAUAUUAUAGAAGAAAAUGAUGAUCAUGAACCCCGUUCAAUUAACGAGUGUCGGCGAAGAAAUGACUAGCCCAAGUGGAAGGAUGCGAUUCAAGCUGAAUUAGACUCACUGACAAAAAGAAAAGUUUUUGGACCUGUAGUCCAAACACCAGAAAAUGUACAACCGGUGGGAUACAAAUGGUUCUUUGUAAGGAAAAGAAAUGAGAAAAAUGAAAUUGUCAGAUAUAAGGCAAGACUUGUAGCCCAAGGUUUUUCACAAAGACCAGGGAUUGAUUAUGAUGAAACAUAUUCUCCGGUAAUGGAUGGAAUCAUGUUUAGAUAUCUGGAAAGCCUAGCAGUGCAUGAAAAUCUUGAUAUGCGUCUAAUGGACGUUGUCACUGCAUAUUUAUAUGGCACAUUAGAAAACGAUAUCUAUAUGAAAAUCCCUAAAAGAUUUAACAUGCCUGAAGCAUAUAAAUCAAAGUUGAGAGAGACUUAUUCCAUUAAAUUACAAAGGUAUUUGUAUGGGUUUAAACAAUCUGGAUGUAUGUGAUAUAAUCAUCUUAGUGAAUGCCUGAUCAAAGAAGGUUAUACUAAUGACCCUAUAUGUCCAUGUGUUUUUAUAAAGAAAAAUGGAUCAAAUUUUGUAAUUAUUGCUGUAUAUGUUGAUGAUUUCAAUUUGAUUGGAACCCCUGAGCAACUUCAAGAGGCAAUUGAAUAUUUGAAGAAAAAAUUUGAGAUCAAAGAUUUUGGAAAAACCAAGUUUUGCCUUGGUUUACAAAUUGAACAUUUAGAGAAUGGGAUUUUUGUACACCAAACCACUUAUACCCAGAAGGUAUUAAAGCAGUUUUAUAUGGAUAAAACACAUCCAUUGAGUACCCCAAUGAUCGUCAGAUCACUUGAUCCUGCUAAGGAUCCGUUUAGACCAAAGGAGACAGAUGAAGAGAUACUUGGUCCAGAAGUACCAUAUCUUAGUGCCAUUGGUGCGCUAAUAUAUCUCGCUAAUUGUACAAGGCCAGAUAUAUCAUUUGCCGUAAAUUUAUUAGCAAGGUUUAGUUCUUCUCCUACUCGACGACAUUGGAAUGGUAUUAAACAUAUUUUUCGUUAUUUCCACGGGACAAUUGAUCUUGGCCUAUAUUAUUCGAAAGCAUCUCGACAUGAAUUGCUCGGAUAUGCUGAUGCUGGGUAUCUAUCAGAUCCACACAAAGCAAAAUCUCAAACUGGCUAUAUAUUUACAUGUAGUGGUACAGCCGUUUCAUGGAGAUCUACCAAACAGACGCUAACUGCCACUUCGUCAAAUCAUGCUGAAGUAUUAGCAAUUCAUGAGGCAAGUCGAGAGAGCGUUUGGCUCAAAUCUUUGUCACACUAUAUUCAGAAGAAUUGUGGCCUAUUGUCUAAGAUAGAGAAUCCUCCGAUGAUAUUGUAUGAAGACAAUACAGCUUGUAUAGCCCAAUUGAAGGGAGGAUAUAUCAAAGAAAAUAAGACGAAACAUAUUUCACCAAAAUUCUUCUUCACUCAUGAUUUGCAAAAGAAUGGUGAAAUUGAUGUACAACAAAUCAGAUCAGAUCAUAAUCUGGCAGAUUUAUUUACCAAGCCAUUGCCGACUGCAACAUUUGAAAAAUUAGUGAGAAAUAUCGGAAUGCAUCGGCUCAAAGAUCUCAAUUGAUAUUUGAAUCAGGGGAGCAAUCAAUACACAAGAAUAGUGUACUCUUUUUCCUUCACUAGAAUUUUUUUUCCACAGGAUUUUUUUUUUCUCUAAUAAGAUUUUAACGAGGUAUAUUCUUCGUGUACUUGAAAUCCAAAGGGAGAGUGUUGUGAAGUGGGCCUCCAUCUUGAAAGAUGAGUACGGCGCCUCACUUUGAUAAAUGAACUCACUUUGAUAAAUAGAAAGGCUGCACAUGUUGUUGGAUGUCAAGGCAAUGCAGAUUGGAGCAAAAGGACGGCAUCACGUGAUAUUCAAUGGUGGCUGCAUCUCCAAAGCAAAACAACCGACUAAAGUUCCUAUAUAUAUGUACUAGUAGUAGGAAGAGAUGAAUAGAAAAAAAGAAGCAAUUCUACUAAUUCCAGUUCCAUUUCUCUUUCUUUCUUUCUUCGUUUUCAUUCUUUACUUUUUGUUCGUUAAAGUUCCAAAUAUAAUACAUAUUAGACUAGUUUCAUAAUAGGGGAGCAAUUGUUAUGACCCCUUAAAUUUUUGUUUCUCUAAUGCCAUGGGUUUGUUUGGAUUCCUAUUAUUUGUACAUUACUUAAAAAGAUUUUAAAAGUUUUCCUAAACUUUAUCUAAAAUUAUCCUAAAGAACCCUACAGUAACAAAUUUUGCUAAAAAAAUACUCUAAAAUGAGUCACUAUGUUGCAGUUAAUUUAUGAAUGAAGAUCCAACUGUAUGUUACCCCCAUUUUAAAGAUAAAUAAGAAUUUAGACACUAUAUUUUCUAGUAAGUAACAAUUCACACAACAAGAAGUGUACAAAGCAAUUCAAGUUUGUUUUAGUUAUUAUAAAAUUACCAUAUUGUAAAAAUAAUUUUUUCCCUGUAAGCCGGGUAAAUUUAUGAAUAAGAGAUAGGGACAGUUGCUCCCAGGAAGUUAAGGGACGAUUGCUAUGUAUGUAUAUUACGAUGAUGUGCAGAAUGUGAACAGAUACAAUAUAUAUAUAUAUAUAUAUAUAUAUGUAUAUGUAUAUGUAUGUAUAUAUACAACUAUAGUUACAAAGCACUAGUUAGGUUAAUUUCACAAAAAGAAAAGAAAACAAAUAUCACUGCAAAAGAAAUUAAAAAUAGAGGGAAGUUACGGGAGAAGGAACUAGUUAACUUGGGUUAUGUAUUUAUAGUUAUUUAAGCAAUUUUUAUCGUGCAGGAGGAAUGUGUUGGAUGGCUCAGCCCUUAGCAGAAGGAGUGUAAGUGAGAGAUCUUGAAUUUGAAUCCUUCCAUUUAUACUAAAAGGAAGUAAUUUUUCUUACACUAAAAAAACAAAAAGAGCAAUUUCUAUCGCAAGGAUAGAUGUAGAACAUAUCAAAAGUAGUACACCAAAUAUGAAGUAGUGAAUAAUGGUUGGAAAAUUAAUGUUGAUAUAUUGGCUUUUCAAAAAAUAAAAAAAGGAAGAAAAUAAUUUAAAAGACAAAAGAGGAAAAAGGCACAAAAGCCUUUUAGUUGGUAUAAAUUGAACUAGAACCAGGAAAAAAAAAAAAAACUUAAUUCAUGCACAACAACAAUUUGAUUAACAGACAGUGUCCCUAAUCUUAGUUUGGCUCCAUAAACGUGUCAUCAUCCAUCAAUACCAAAAUCCCACAGCUGAAUAAACCGUCAAAACCGCUGCUAUUCGGCUCGUCUCCGUCCCAAUUUAGCCACUUCUAACUUCCAACGCAUCUUCACAAGAUGGAGGAGUUAUUGUGCAAACCUGAUAAUUCACGUCCCAAAAGAAUGGUGGUCAUAUACAUAUAGAUAAUCAAAUACUACUAGCAAUCCAAGGUUUUCUUUUUCCUGAAAUAAAUUUCGGAAUUGAUUCGAAUAUUUUUUUGAGGGAAAGAAAAUAGAAUAUCAACCACGUAACGUUUCAUUCUAAUAGAGUUACUUGGACUUCUGUUGCUUCCAACAGGGGAAAAGAAGAAGAAGGAAAAAAAAAAGGGCUACAUUAAAUUUGGAAAUACCAUUUUUUUCCUUUUCAAAGUCUGUUUCGGAGAUGAUAGGCCACAAAUUAUCUUGAUUAAUGGCAUGUGGCAAAUAGGGCUCUUCUUGGUCGACUUCCAUUAGAGAUUUCCCUGCCGUCCGUGGUAUUAAAACACAGCCUCGCAUUUCCGUGACAGGAAAGAGAUGGCAGAAGAAUCUGGCAUGACUGCAGGAGGAGGAGAUAGAGAUAGAGAUAGAGAUGUGGAGGAACUGCAAGAAGAAGAAAAGGACGAAGAUAACAUUAUUGGUAUGAUCAACAGCAGAAUCAGUUUGGAUACAAGUACGAGCGGCGUUAACCCUUCAUCCCCCCUCUGGGAAUUGAAUCUUCUCAUCCUCCUUUCCUUCCUUUCUUUAUCUCCCGAAGAAUGUUUAGAUUUAGAAAAUUUUGAUGAAAACACCCACAAAGAUUCAAGACCGAGGCACCCCCUCUCACCAAGUUUACAGAUAAUUAGAAAGCGACAGAUGUGCGAGUUCAGAGCUCCUCCUGAACGGCAAUCUGCGAGGUUUCAGACCAGGGCAAGAGAUUGCAGGUAAAGCCUAAUGAGCCUCUUCUCUCAAUCUCAACUCUUAAAAAAUAUAUAGAAGAAAAUUUUUGAUCUUUUUUCUUCUUUAUUGUACAGGCACUUCAGACAAGUGUGAAAAUACACCCCAACAGCGCCCAUGUCCCGCACCUUCGGGAGCCCGCAUGCAAAGCACCAGCUUUGCUUUUUCAAAGGAGGAGUAGUGCUCUGUGUAAUUUCGUUGUUUACCUGCUAGUUUUGUGGUUGAUGGCCCAUACCAAUUACCAACAACACCUUUUUUGCUUUGACGGAAAUAAUAAUACGCUGUUCUUAUUAUUAUUAUUAUUUUUCUUCGCUAUGCAUGAAGGACAAUACUUCUUCUCCAAGUAGACUGGAAUGCAACAAGUUUCUCUCUUCCAUCUACUUAAUGGCCUUUUCAAUGAUUAAUUGCAUCGAAGAGGCCACAAAUGACCCCGAACGGUGACUUUGACCACUCAAGGCUUGCAUUUGUUCCGUCUAUCUAAUGGGAUGAUGCAGAAAGAUACCCACUGCAUUCGAGCACUCUAGCGCCGCAAGACCUACAUGUUCAGUGACUCUUUUUUUUUUUUUUUCAUCUUAAUCUUCCAAUUUGAGAGAAUAUGCAUAGCUUUCGCAUUCUAUCAACGGAUAAUCUCUUAAAAACUGAAAUGAGCCACCAAAAAUAAAAUUCCUGAUGAAACGUCGGACGCACAAUAAAUCUGAUGGGUUCUGCUUUAUCAGGGACACAACCAAGGCAGUUAUUGCAAUAUUCGUCAGCCAUAUCAUUAUUGACACAUCAUCUGAAUGGCAACUGCUACAUGCUAAAGCACUUGGAAGGGCAAAACAUAUAGACAUGGCUAAACAGAGAAGCAACAUAUAGACAGACUAGAGCAGGUCUCUAAAUUCUCUCAGGGAUGGAGAGGCCAUAACCAUGUUGCGAUUGCUCUUCUCCUUGUCUAUAAAAAUUUCACAU
rnacentral:lncRNA from 1 species